CCCUUAGAUGUUCUGGGCCGCACGCGCGCUACACUGACGAAUGCAACGAGCUUAUAACCUUGGCCGAAAGGUCUGGGUAAUCUCCAAAUUUCGUCGUGAUGGGGAUAGAUUAUUGCAAUUAUUAAUCUUCAACGAGGAAUGCCUAGUAAGCGCAAGUCAUCAGCUUGCGUUGAUUACGUCCCUGCCCUUUGUACACACCGCCCGUCACUCCUACCGAUUGAAUGGUCCGGUGAAGCGUUCGGACCGUGGCCUUUGGACGGUUCGCCGUCUGUUGGCUGCGGGAAGUUCGUUAAACCUUAUCAUUUAGAGGAAGGAGAANUCGUANCA
rnacentral:rRNA from 1 species